GACGUUUGCCAUCAGUGUAUCCAAGAAAGUAAUUGGACGAUCUCGGAUGUUGAUGAAAUGGAGCAGCAAUUGGCAGACCCUACCUUCCAGAAACAAGUGAUUCUACUUGUCUAGGUGGGUCGUGGAAUGGAAAAGUUUGGGAACCCCUGACGUAGUGGAGAGCAAGAUAGGUAAGUCUUAAGAUAUUCUUGAUUUUUAAAUGGAAAUACAAUCUUUAAAAAGACAAGACUUAUCUGUUUUAACUGUGAAAAAGUGGCACAGUGGUUGAUUAAUUGUUCUCUUUUCAAAGGGCCGUUGGGAGAGCAAGGACAGGGGAGUGAGGAGCUGCACUUUCGGUAUUUUAUUUAUUUUUUAAU